UUAUCGAAUUAAAUUAAGGUUUAUUUUAAAAGAUAAACAUCUAGUUCAUAAUAACAAUAUCUCAUUAAGUGCAUAAACGAGACCUUACUUAGUACAUAGAAAUAUGAUCUUACAGUACAUAGAAGUUAAAAACAUAGGAACAACAUGAAAUUUAUUCGGAAUGACAUAGACAUUGACAAACAAAGAUAUGAACUAACUUCGAGUAUCUUUUAACCAUCCAUCAAGGUAAACAUGUUUGGAGUCUGGGGUGGAUUUCUCUUUCUUAGCUCGGAUAUCUUUCAACCAUCCAUCAAGGUAUACUUGGUUGGAGUCAGAUGUGGAUUUCACUUUCUCAGCUCGGAUAUCUUUCAACCAUCCAUCAAGGUAAACUUGGUUGGAGUCAGAUGUGGAUUUCUCUUUCUCAGCUCGGAUAUCUUUCAACCAUCCAUCAAGAUAAACUUGGUUGGAGUCAGAUGUGGAUUUCGCUUUCUCAGAAUCAAGGUAAACUUGGUUGGAGUCAGAUGUGGAUUUCUCUUUCUCAGCUCGGAUAUCUUUCAACCAUCCAUCAAGAUAAACUUGGUUGGAGUCAGAUGUGGAUUUCGCUUUCUCAGCUCGGAUAUCUUUCAACCAUCCAUCAAGGUAAACUUGGUUGGAGUCAGAUGCGGAUUUUGUUUUCUCAGGUCGGGUGUCUUUCAACCAUCCAUCAAGAUAAACUUGGUUGAAGUCAGAGGUGGAUUUUGUUUGCUUUGCUCGGAUAUCUUUCAACCAUCCAUCAAGAUAAACUUGGUUGGAGUCAGGGGUGGAUUUUGUUUGCUUUGCUCGGAUAUCUUUCAACCAUCCAUCAAGAUAAACUUGGUUGGAGUCAGAGGUAGAUUUGACUUUCUCAGCUCGGACAUCUUUCAACCAUCCGUCAAGGUAAACUUGGUUGGAGUUAGAGGUGGAUUUUUCUUUUUCUGAUCGGGUAUCUUUCAACCAUCCAUCAAGAUAAACUUCGUUGGAGUUCGGUGUGGACUUUGCUUUCUCAGAUCUGAUGUCUUUCAACCAUCCAUCAAGAUAAACUUGGUUGGAGUCAGCAGUAGAUUUUACUUUCUCAGCUCGAGUAUCUUUCAACCAUCCAUCAAGGUAAACUUGGUUGGAGUCAGACGUGGAUUUUGCUUUCUCUGCUCGGGUAUCUUUCAACCAUCCAUCAAGAUAAACUUGGUUGGAGUCAGGGGUGGAUUUUGUUUUUUCUGCUCGAGUAUCUUUCAACCAUCCAUCAAGGUAAAUUUGGUUUGAGUUAGGGGUGGACUUAGCUUUCUCAACUCUGAUAUCUUUCAACCAUCCAUCAAGAUAAACUUGGUUGGAGUCUGCGGUUGAUUUUGUUUUCUCAGUUCGAGUAUCUUUCAACCAUCCAUCAAGGUAUACUUGGUUGGAAUCGGGGGAAGAUUUUGCUCUCUCAGUUCGGGUAUCUUUCAACCAUCCAUCAAGGUAAACUUGGUUGGAGUCAUGGAUGAGUUUUUGAUUCUUCAAUGGAUUUUUGAGCCAACCAUCAAUGUAAGGUUGAUCAGCUUCCUUUUCUUCUACACUCUCUUGCUCAAGUUUGAUAUAUCGAGCAGAGCUUCCUUGUCCAUU
rnacentral:lncRNA from 1 species